ensembl:misc_RNA 7SK 7SK RNA
GGAUGUAAGGGUGAUUUGGCUGUGACAUUUGUCACCCCAUUAUUGCCUGGGUUGAUUAAACUGAUCUGGCUGGCUAGGCCAUGUCCCCAUCCUCACUAUACUUUUGUGAGUCCCUCCCAAAGCUGCUCAAGGAAGGUUUGAAACUGCUCAACCUUCCCGGAAUAGAGACAGCUGGUUCCAGGGUAUAUGAGUAGCUGCACUCCCCUGCUAGAACCUCUGAACAAGCUCUCAUGGUCUAUUUACAGAAGAAUGUAGGAUAGUCAACCUCCAGGAUUAAAAGACACAACCAAAUGAGGUGCUACACAUGGCAGCCUGCCUUUU